rnacentral:rRNA from 1 species
UACGUAGGGUCCGAGCGUUGUCCGGAAUUACUGGGCGUAAAGAGCUCGUAGGCGGUUUGUCGCGUCUGCUGUGAAAACCUAAGGCUCAACCUUGGGCUUGCAGUGGGUACGGGCAGACUAGAGUGCGGUAGGGGUGACUGGAAUUCCUGGUGUAGCGGUGGAAUGCGCAGAUAUCAGGAGGAACACCGGUGGCGAAGGCGGAUCUCUGGGCCUUACCUGACGCUGAGGCGCGAAAGCUAGGGGAGCGAACAGG